UUGAAAGGGAAACGAUUGAAGUCAGUCGUACCUGUGGGUAAUCAGCCUUUUGGGUGUGAUUUUGUGGAGUGUGAGGAGUUAAACGCCUUCAUGCCUGCAUAUUCGUGCACUUUGGGUGUAUUUACCCGUGUGGUAAGUUAACAUCAAUUUCGGUGGUCAUAAAAUGGCUGGAGGAAUGUAGCUUCGAUCUUGUAUUGAAGUGUUAUAGCCUUCGGUAGAUGUGAUGAUCGGGAUUGAGGAUUGCAACGGAUACCCUUCGGGGCUACCUGUCUGAUCUCUGAUCGUUGCUCUGGUGCCGAAAGCUUGCUUACGGUUUCAAUCGAUGGUCAAUAGGUUAGAACGGGUUAAAUUCGUUAAGGAUGUUGACGUA
rnacentral:rRNA from 1 species